rnacentral:tRNA from 1 species
UGAGUGUAGCUCAGUGGUAGAGUGUUUGCUUAGCAUGUGCAAAGCCCUAGGUUUGAUCCCUAGCACAUCAA